rnacentral:rRNA from 1 species
GUAGUCUCGCACAGAUGCAUAUCAAUAAGCGGAGGAAAAGAAACUACAAGGAUUCCCCUAGUAACGGCGAGUGAAGCGGGAAGAGCUCAAAUUUGAAAUCUUAAAGGGUUUCCCUUUACGAAUUGUAGUUUAAAGAAGUGUUUUCUGUUGAGGUUUUGGUAAAAGUUCUUUGGAAUAGGACAUCAUAGAGGGUGAGAAUCCCGUAUUUGACCUUUACUUUCAACUUUGUGAUACACUUUCAAAGAGUCGGAUUGUUUGGGAAUGCAGUCCAAAAUGGGUGGUAAAUUUCAUCUAAAGCUAAAUAUUGGCGAGAGACCGAUAGCGAACAAGUACCGUGAGGGAAAGAUGAAAAGAACUUUGAAAAGAGAGUUAAACAGUACGUGAAAUUGUCAAAAGGGAAGCGUUUGACACCAGUGUUGUUUUUCUGAAAAUCAAUUAAAGAACUGUUUAUGCUAAGCUGUUUAGACUUUAUCAGCUAACUGUUUAGUUUCGAGCUUUUCUUUAAUGCACUUUUCAGUUAACAAGUCAACAUCAAUUUCUUUUGCUGUAAAAAAGCUUGAGGAAGGUGGCUUGAGAUUCGUCUUAAGUGUUUAUAGCCUCUUGCCUAUGCAGUCGGAGAGAUUGAGGUCUGCAGCGUAGAUCCUUCGGGGCUAAAUAGCAUUUGUGCUAAGUUAUAGCAUUUUAUAGACAACUUGUUGACUAUGAUUCGUCUUGUAGCUUACUCGCUUAUGUUAUUUUACCUACGCUUAGGAUGUUGACGCAUGAGAUAUACGC